UACGUAGGGUGCGAGCGUUAAUCGGAAUUACUGGGCGUAAAGCGUGCGCAGGCGGUUUUGUAAGCCAGAUGUGAAAUCCCCGGGCUUAACCUGGGAAUGGCAUUUGGGACUGCAAGGCUCGAGUGCGGCAGAGGAGACUGGAAUUCCUGGUGUAGCAGUGAAAUGCGUAGAUAUCAAGAGGAACACCUGCGGCGAAGGCGGGUUGCUGGGCCGA
rnacentral:rRNA from 1 species